rnacentral:rRNA from 1 species
ACAAAGUGACAGGUGGUGCAUGGUUGUCGUCAGCUCGUGUCGUGAGAUGUUGGGUUAAGUCCCGCAACGAGCGCAACCCUUAAGCUUAGUUGCCAGCAUUAAGUUGGGCACUCUAAGUUGACUGCCGGUGACAAACCGGAGGAAGGUGGGGAUGACGUCAAAUCAUCAUGCCCCUUAUGAUUUGGGCUACACACGUGCUACAAUGGACAAUACAAAGGGCAGCUAAACCGCGAGGUCAUGCAAAUCCCAUAAAGUUGUUCUCAGUUCGGAUUGUAGUCUGCAACUCGACUACAUGAAGCUGGAAUCGCUAGUAAUCGUAGAUCAGCAUGCUACGGUGAAUACGUUCCCGGGUCUUGUACACACCGCCCGUCACACCACGAGAGUUUGUAACACCCGAAGCCGGUGGAGUAACCAUUUAUGGAGCUAGCCGUCGAAGGUGGGACAAAUGAUUGGGGUGAAGUCGUAACAAGGUAGCCGUAUCGGAAGGUGCGGUUGGAUCACCUC